AACACCCUCUUGGAAACGAUGCCAGAAUCCAGGGCUUUGACAGCUUGGUGAAACCUUAUUUUAUCCUGAGAUAGAGAAAAACCUGACUCCGGGAAGGGCUAAAUUUUCAAAGGCAGUACCAUGUUGCAGCACAAACACCUCAUGACCUGCUCUCUGUGCCUGGCGUGCUAUUGGGCGUUUGGGACUCGACCAUGAAUACAGGAGAAUUCCUGCUCGUAGAGUCUAGAGGGCUGCUUGGAGAUGCGGGUUUACUGAGAUGCUGAUGAGACCCCAGCAGGAGGGCCCUUUCCAAGGCCCUGAGAGGGCGGCUAGCUCUGCGUUCACCGAGUCAUAUAUUUUUACCAGAUUUGCGAAGGCCCAAAAGUUUGCAUAAGUUUCAGGACCUAAAAUGUAAGGUAUGACUCUUGGUCUUUAAAUUGCCAAAAAAUAUAUGUUCAAACAGUGUUUUCAAUUGCUUUGUACUGUGGGCAUAAUCUAUUAUGCCUUAGUCUGAGUUGUUGUCGUUGGGACGUUCAGGCUGUGAGAGUCAGAGAAUGAGAGGGUUUCUAAGGCUCAGUCUGUUCUGAUGGUUGGAUGUGACUCCCGGCGUUGAUCCAUGAGCACCCUAGGUCCUCAAGAGGCUCUCCUCCCUGUGUCCAUGUUCUUUGACUUAUGGAUACUUGUUGAAGAAAACAGCUUCCUCUCCUGUGUCCACUGUGACUCCUCAAUUAAGAAAGAAUCAAAUAAAUUUAGCCUCCUCCACGCAACGCCUCUGAACAGAAAAGGAAUUCAGAAUAUAUAGUACCAACCAGGCGGGUGAUCAGCUCUAUAAAGGACUGUGCUGUGCGCUGAGUGCUUAUUCGUUUCACCUGUUGAUCAGAGGACUGUGUUCUUCUUUUAAAAACAUUUUGAAAUUUGAAAAUCCAACCAAUGCCUGCUGUGGCAGCCAGGGAGAUGGCGCUGCUCGGUUGUCCCUUUAAGAGAACCUGCUGGGGUGCAUAGUAGGGCAACAAGCCCAGCUGCCACAUCUUUGGAACCGCUGCAACACCCAGUUCAGAGCCCCCGCCUCUGGCUACUCCCAGCCGGUGCCUGAACGCUGCUGAGGUGGAGCUGCAGUGCGGGCCCAUCCUGCCUGACUCGGGAUUCCUCUAACGGGCAACUUUGGCUCAGAUGCUCCCCGCAGCUGGCAAGCCCUCUCAGAACCGCUCUGGGUCCUGAGGCUCUUUCUUGACAGUCUUUCCUUCCCUCUCUCCCUUCACAGGCACAGACCUGAUCGCAGCUGACUGCCCUCCCUGUCUGUUCCUGCUCCCUCCUCCCUCUACCCUUCACAGGCUUUCCCCCAAUAAAUCUCUUGCCUGUCAAUUCCCAUCUUAGCAUCUGCUUCUCUGAGCAUCUGAACUGACAUCGUGUACAUUGUUA
rnacentral:lncRNA from 1 species